UACGUAGGGUGCGAGCGUUGUCCGGAAUUACUGGGCGUAAAGAGCUCGUAGGUGGUUUGUCGCGUUGUUCGUGAAAACUCACAGCUCAACUGUGGGCGUGCGGGCGAUACGGGCAGACUGGAGUACUGCAGGGGAGACUGGAAUUCCUGGUGUAGCGGUGGAAUGCGCAGAUAUCAGGAGGAACACCGGUGGCGAAGGCGGGUCUCUGGGCAGUAACUGACGC
rnacentral:rRNA from 1 species